GGUGGGGUUGCGGGGGAGACUGAGAGGUUGAGAGCAGGCCGGGUGUGUGAGUGCGUGCGUGUGCGUGCGUGUGCGUGCGCCUGUCUGAGCGCUCGCCCCAAGCCGUGAGUGUGGAUUUGGAAAAUGGAGGAGUGCAAGCGGAACCCAAAGGAGCACUGUUGGUUUCCCGGUCUCACUCCUUUGUCCAAUCCAGAUUUGUUAAAUUCUGUAGUAGGUGCAUCAACCUUGAACUGCUUCAAGUAGUCCCGUAGCUGCCUACUUCUAGGCGGUAGUGGUGGUGUACACUGGUGUGUGGCCAUCCAGAGGAGCUUCAUCAACCCACAAGCAAUCACAUCCCAAAGAAUGGUGACUGUCUCUUCCUCAGCAGCCAGCAGUUACCAGUAGUUCCUGUGAUGGGGUUUUGCCUCAGAUCCCCUCUCCCAUACAUGCUGGAAUUAUGACUGGUUUGAUCUUGUGCAGGUCUUAUGCAGGCUCUUACAUCCUGAGAAUUUAAACAUCCACGGCAAUCUCUAUACAAAUGCCUUGAUCAAUGGCUGUUAUUCUUUGAUGAAGACAACAAGAAUUUCCCUUGCCACAACAAGGUCAAACCCCCUAUGAUAAGGGGAAAAUUGUGUUCUACCACCUUAAGAGAACAGCCUGGAGUCAGAGCAGAUCCGAGUCUCUGUAGCUGGUGCCCAGUGUGCAGCUCCAGGAAGGUGGUGAAUGGGUUUCGAGCAAAGGCUGUGGAACCGAAAGGGAAUUAGAGUCGGCUCAGAGGAGUCAGAAGGUAAAAAGAAACAUGAUCCAGCUGAAGACUUGAUCAGAAGAUGGUGUGAUGGCUAAUCCUGGGUGUCAACUUGAUUGGAUCUGGGAUUAACUGAAAUGAAAGAGAUAUUCUUGAUUGGAUCAUCUAAAGCUGGAAGACACACCC